rnacentral:rRNA from 1 species
UAUGAACGCUGGCGGCGUGCUUAACACAUGCAAGUCGAACGGAAAGGCCCAAGCUUGCUUGGGUACUCGAGUGGCGAACGGGUGAGUAACACGUGGGUGAUCUGCCCUGCACUUCGGGAUAAGCCUGGGAAACUGGGUCUAAUACCGGAUAGGACCACAUUUUGGAUGGUGUGGUGGAAAGUUUUUCGGUGUGGGAUGAGCUCGCGGCCUAUCAGCUUGUUGGUGGGGUAAUGGCCUACCAAGGCGUCGACGGGUAGCCGGCCUGAGAGGGUGUACGGCCACAUUGGGACUGAGAUACGGCCCAGACUCCUACGGGAGGCAGCAGUGGGGAAUAUUGCACAAUGGGCGCAAGCCUGAUGCAGCGACGCCGCGUGGGGGAUGACGGCCUUCGGGUUGUAAACUCCUUUCGCUAGGGACGAAGCGUUUUUGUGACGGUACCUGGAGAAGAAGCACCGGCUAACUACGUG